rnacentral:rRNA from 1 species
GUAACGGCGAGUGAAGCGGGCAAAGCUCAACCUGAAAAUCGGAUUCCUUAGCGGGAUUUCGAAUUGUGGGCUACAGACGCGUGAUCAGUGUGUGACCCAGGUAUAAAUCUCUUUGAAACGAGGUAUCAUAGAGGGUGAGAAUCCCGUCUGUGACUUGGAGUUCGCCGCGUACGAUCCGUGUUCGCAGAGUCGCGUUGUUUGGGAUUGCAGCGCUAAAUGGGUGGUAAGUUUCAUCUAAAGCUAAAUAUCGACGAGAGACCGAUAGCGAACAAGUACCGUGAGGGAAAGAUGAAAAGAACUUUGAAAAGAGAGUUAAAAAGUACUUGAAAUUGCUAAGAGGGAAGCACUGGAUACCAGUCGUGCUGCGCGUGUAUAUUUAGCAUGUCUGUCUGGAUCUGGGCGGUGUGGAGAGCCAAAAGCCUCCUAGCUGUUCAGUGAAUUGCGGGCUAGCGACCUGUACUGUGUAGCGAGUCAGAAUCAAUUAGAUUGGAGUGAGAAAGCUAUCAGCACGGUAGGAGCGCGGGGGCAACCCCAAGUUCUGUUUAGGCUGGUAGUGCUAACUUCGGUUUGAUUGAGGGACAAUUUCAACGCGCCCCGCAUGGGUUUGCGCUCCCCGACCCUGGGUGCUCAGGAGGUUUGGACAACAAAGUUGUGCUAUCUCUGAAGGUGCCUACUGGAAAGGAUGAGCGACACGCAGCGUUCGAGAU